rnacentral:rRNA from 1 species
GCAUAACGCGAAGAACCUUACCCACCUUUGACAUGUACGGAAGUUACCAGAGAUGGUUUCGUGCUCGAAAGAGAACCGUAACACAGGUGCUGCAUGGCUGUCGUCAGCUCGUGUCGUGAGAUGUUGGGUUAAGUCCCGCAACGAGCGCAACCCUUGCCAUUAGUUGCUACAUUCAGUUGGGCACUCUAAUGGGACUGCCGGUGACAAACCGGAGGAAGGUGGGGAUGACGUCAAGUCCUCAUGGCCCUUAUAGGUGGGGCUACACACGUCAUACAAUGGCUGGUACAGAGGGUUGCCAACCCGCGAGGGGGAGCCAAUCCCAUAAAGCCAGUCGUAGUCCGGAUCGCAGUCUGCAACUCGACUGCGUGAAGUCGGAAUCGCUAGUAAUCGCGGAUCAGAAUGUCGCGGUGAAUACGUUCCCGGGUCUUGUACACACCG